UACGGGGGGAGCAAGCGUUGUUCGGAUUUACUGGGCGUAAAGGGCGCGUAGGCGGCCACCGCAAGUCGACUGUGAAAUCUCCGGGCUUAACCCGGAAAGGUCAGCCGAUACUGCGGGGCUAGAGUGCAGAAGGGGCAACUGGAAUUCUCGGUGUAGCGGUGAAAUGCGCAGAUAUCGGGAAGAACACCCGUGGCGAAGGCGGUUCUCUGGGACGGUACUGACGCUGAGACGCGAAAGCGUGGGGAGCGAACAGG
rnacentral:rRNA from 1 species